rnacentral:lncRNA from 1 species
UUAUUUUUUGGGUUUGGACUUUUUGCUGGAUGUACAAAUGAUCUGGUAUCUAGACUCAACCAGCAACAGGGAUAUGUGUUUGUAAUUUGAAUUUCUAUUGGUAUGAGAUGGACUUUGCAUGUCUACUGGAAUCCUGCAGAAAAAAGCAAGUUACUAGGUGGUUUAUGUUCUAGGGAAUGCUAGUGUUCAUUUGGAGGUGUAUAGCUCUCCUGUAACAUUUAUACUUUUCAAAUAUAUUUCAUAUCUUUACAUUUCAUACUUGGAACUACUCUGUAAAUGAGGCAGGGCAGAUAUAAUUCCUAUUUAACAGAGGAUGCUGAGGCAUAAAUAAAGAGACUGUUAUGGUUGCUGGCUCAACAAUAAAUGACUGAGACAACCUAUUGCAUUUCAAUUUUGAACUGUGAUGUUCAGAACAUUUUAUAGGAGUAAAAAGCUGAAUGCCCCUCUCUGUUAUUUUUAGCGACGUCUUCGACAUCUUCGGAAUAUAGCUGCUCGGAACAUUGUUAAUAGAAAUGGACAUCAGCUCCUUGAUACCUACUUCACACUUCACUUGUGUAAUGCUGAAAAGAUAUAUAAAGAAUCCAACGUGGCGGAGUCUUGAUUUUGGAAUAAUGCCAGAUCGACUUGAUACAUCUGUGUCUUGCUUUGUAGUGAAGAUAUGGGGUGGAAAGGAGGACAUUUACCAGCUGCUGAUUGAAUGGAAAGUCUGUUUGGAUGGGCUGAAAUACUUGGGUCAGCAGGUAAUUUUUAGAUUGUGAUUUUAAGUGGUUGUCAUCUCCAAAUUAACCUGUCUAACCUUUCUAUUUAUUCUUCUGUCUGUACACUUUAUGUUACAAAGAGAGACCUUUAUGGUUGUUUGCUUGUAUUACUUAUGUUUGAGCUUAAAAAAUACCUUUAGUUAAAGAAAUUUAAGCUGCUAAUUUAAGUUUUUUUAUACAUGUGUAUGAGAAAGGAUAUGCUUUCUUACAUCAUUCUGCUUUGGAUGUUCUCCCAUAGAAUCUGAAAAUUAAGUAGAAAUAAGGAAUGUACCUCUCUUUUGACCAGAGAGUCAAGUUAUUAUAGGAAUAAAAAGAACUACUGUUUAUUGAGCAUACGGGUGACAAAUGCCUGGUUUAUAUACUACCUUCUCUUGUCUGCUGUCUCAUGUGACUGAUGUAGUUCAUGAAUCAUAGAGCUGUCCUAGCUAGCUAAGCUCAAAAAUGGCUCGAUAAUCCUUUCUGACAGUGUUCCAGGACACAACCAGCAUCUAUCAGAAUUGUAUAUGAAAUGAAACCUACAUGCC